rnacentral:lncRNA from 1 species
GCUUAAUAUAUUUUUUUAAUGUACAUUGAAUUCUAUGUAGAAGUUAGUUCCGGAAUGUUUGACUCUAGAAUUAUACAUGGACUCAGACUUUUUGUCUUGAGUGCUGGGAUCAAAUCCAGGGCCUUCUGCACGCUAGGCAAGUUCUCAUACCACUAAGCUACAUCCAGACCUCACAUGUUUUUGUUUUUGUUUGCUGUUGUUGUUUGUUUCUUGCCACAUACUGAGGAUUUAAUCUAGAAGCACUUUACCACUGAGCCCUUUUUAAUUUUUUAUGUGGAGACAGAGUCUUGCUAAAUUGCUCACGCAAUUGCUUAUUCUUUAAAAUUCUUUUAAUUAACCAUAAUAUUUGUACAUAUUUAUGGGGGUAUAGUAUGAUAAUUUGAUACAUGUAUAAAAUGUGUCCUGACCAAAUCAGGCUAAUUAACAUUUCUAUCUCCUGAAACAUUUACCAUUUCUGGGUGUUGGGAAACUUUGGAAUCUUUUUUCUAGCAUUUCAAAAUAUGUAAUCAAUUGUCUUUGACUAUUGGUACUCUACUGCUAUAGAUCACUAGAACCAAUUCCUCCUAUCUAACUGUGCUUUGGUCCCUGUUAUAUAAUCUAUUUAUACAGUGUUGCUUUUUCUUGAGCUCCAUAUAAGUGAAAUAUUACAGUGUGUACUUUUUGUAUCUGACUUUUUUUUUCAAAUCACCAUAAAUAAUGUUAUUGAGAUUCAUUUAUAUUGUAACACAUAUUAGUCAUUUGUUCUUUUCUUUUUUUUUUUAAUCACUGAGUAGUGUUCUACCCUGUGAAUAUACCCUAAUUGGUUUUUCUAUUCUUUUGUUGAUGGACCAGUAGUUGUUCUCAGUUUUGAUCUGUUAUGAAUAAAGCUUUAAUGAGGAUCCUUGAGGAGUCUUUUCAAGGAUAUACUUACUUGCUUCUUUUGAGUAGGACUAGAAUUCCUGAAUCAUAGGUAACUCUAUGCUUAGCAUUAUUAGAAAUAGCCAAAUAGAUUUUUCAAAGAGAUUGUACCAUUUUACAUUCCCAUCAGCAAUAUGAUCCCACUCUCUCCCUGCUUUAGUUUGCAUUUUAAUUAUCCCCCAAAGGCCCCUGUGUUUAAGGCUUGAUCCCUGGGGUAGCACUGUUGGGAGGUGGAUGAGACUUUAAGAAGUGCAGCCUCACCGGAGACCUUCAGGUCAUUGAGGGUAUGCCCUUGAAGGGGACCAUAGCCUCCUUUUGGCUCUGUUUUUGUUCCCUGGCCAUGAGCUGAGUUUUGCUUUGCCACACGCUUCUGCCUCACCACAGACUCCAAGAAACAGAACCAGUCUAUCAUGGACUGAACCUCCAAAACUCUUAGCCAAAAUAAAUCUUUUUUUUUCUUUAUAGUUGAUUAUCUUAGGUAUUUUAGUAAUGAAAAGUUGACUAAUAACCCCCUCAACCCCUAUAACAUCUGUUGAACUUGCACUGAAUCUAAAGAUCAAUUUAGGGAUAAUUGAAUCUUAAUGCUACUGAGGUUUGCAUUUCAUAAAAAUUGUGUAUCUCUGCAUUUAUUAUACCUCCUUUAUCUCAGCAUUAUUUUUAGUUUUGAGGACUUUACAU